rnacentral:rRNA from 1 species
GACGAACGCUGGCGGCGUGCUUAACACAUGCAAGUCGAACGGAAAGGCCCUGCUUUUGUGGGCUGCGCGAGUUGCGACCGGGUGAGUAACACUUGAGUUACCUGUCCUUGACUUUGGGAUGACUUCAGGAAACUUGGUCUAAUACCGGAUAGGAGCUCCUGCUGUUUGGUGGGGGUUGUAAAGUUUCGGCGGUUGGUGAUGGACUGGCGGCUUAUCAGCUUGUUGGUGGGGUAGUGGCUUACCAAGGCUUUGACGGGUAGCCGGCCUGGGAGGAUGACCGGCCACAUUGGGACUGAGAUACGGCACAGACUCGUACGGGAGGCAGCAGUGGGGAAUAUAACACAAUGGGCGGAAGGCAGAUGCAGCAACGCCGCGUGCGGGAUGACGGGCUGGGGGUUGGAAACCGCUUUCGCCUGUGACGAAGCGUGAGUGACGGUAAUGGGUAAAGAAGCACCGGCUAACUACGUG